rnacentral:rRNA from 1 species
CAGCACCUCAAGUGGUCAGGAUGAUUAUUGGGCCUAAAGCAUCCGUAGCCGGCGCUGUAAGUUUUCGGUUAAAUCUGUACGCUCAACGUACAGGCUGCCGGGAAUACUGCAGCGCUAGGGAGUGGGAGAGGUAGACGGUACUCGGUAGGAAGGGGUAAAAUCCUUUGAUCUAUUGAUGACCACCUGUGGCGAAGGCUGCUGACUAGAACACGUCUGACGGUCAGGGACGAAAGCUGGGGUAGCGAACCGGAUUAGAUACCCGAGUAGUCC